UACAGAGGGUGCGAGCGUUAAUCGGAAUUACUGGGCGUAAAGCGUGCGUAGACGGCUAUUUAAGUCGGGUGUGAAAUCCCCGGGCUCAACCCGGGAACUGCGUCCGAUACUGGAGGGCUCGAAUCCGGGAGAGGGAUGUGGAAUUCCAGGUGUAGCGGUGAAAUGCGUAGAUAUCUGGAGGAACACCGGUGGCGAAGGCGGCAUCCUAGACCGGUAUUGACGCUGAGGCGCGAAAGCCAGGGGAGCAAACGGG
rnacentral:rRNA from 1 species